GACGAACGCUGGCGGCGUGCUUAACACAUGCAAGUCGAACGCUGAAGCUUGGUGCUUGCACUGGGUGGGUGAGUGGCGAACGGGUGAGUAAUACGUGAGUAACCUGCUCUUGACUCUGGGAUAAGCCUGGGAAACUGGGUCUAAUACUGGAUAUGACAUGCCACUGCAUGGUGGUGUGUGGAAAGGGUUUUACUGGUUUUGGAUGGGCUCAUGGCCUAUCAGCUUGUUGGUGGGGUAAUGGCCUACCAAGGCGACGACGGGUAGCCGGCCUGAGAGGGUGACCGGCCACACUGGGACUGAGAGACGGCCCAGACUCCUACGGGAGGCAGCAGUGGGGAAUAUUGCACAGUGGGCGGAAGCCUGAUGCAGCGACGCCGCGUGAGGGAUGACGGCCUUCGGGUUGUAAACCUCUUUCAGCACGGAAGAAGCGAGAGUGACGGUACGUGCAGAAGAAGCGCCGGCUAACUACGUG
rnacentral:rRNA from 1 species